UGGUGCACUUCGCGCUGGUUUUUUGGCUGCCAUCAAAUUGAGAGCUAUCCUGUUGGACAGUUUCAAGCCAAGCAUUCUCAGGGGCAGUGCAUUUUCCAGAUGUCCAACCAGAGCACAGUCACCUUGGGCCCCAGCACUGGUCAUCAGUUCAUCUCGUUAUGACUACAGCAGAGAGCAGGCUGUCUUCCCAUCAGCCUACCCAGAAGGAGCCAUGGCAACAUACUGGAAGAAGGAAACGGUGGCAGCCUAGGCACUGGUGCUUCAUGGGAGAGAGUGGGCAAGACCACGAACCAGGAGGGCGCUGGGGUCCUGGGAUCCACGGAAUGGAAUUUCAAGAACACUGAUAAAUUGCUGUAGCACCAUUAAAAACAAAGAAAGGAAAUAAAAGGAAGGCCCUUUUGUCUACUUGUCUUUAGUAGGAAACGUUGCAAAUUCCGAUGGCUUGAUUGCUUCUUUAUGGAAAGAAUAUGGCAAAGCUGAUGCAAGAUGGGUUUAUUUCGAUCCAACCAUUGUGUCUGUGGAAAUUCUGACUGUCACGCUGGAUGGGUCUCUGGCAUUGUUCCUCAUUUAUGCCAUAGUCGAAGAAAAACAUUACCGGCAUUUCCUGCAGAUCACCCUGUGCGUGUGCGAGUUGUAUGGCUGCUGGAUGACCUUCCUCCCAGAGUGGCUCACCAGAAGCCCCAACCUCAACACCAGCAACUGGCUCUACUGUUGGGUUUACCUGUUUUUUUUUAACGGUGUGUGGGUUCUGAUCCCAGGACUGCUACUGUGGCAGUCGUGGGUAGAACUCAAGAAAAUGCAUCAGAAAGAAACCAGUUCAGUGAAAAAGUUUCAGUGAACUUUCAAAACCAUAAACACCAUUAUCUAACUUUAUGAGCCAAAAUGAAUCAAAUCUUUUUGUUUGGCCAAAAUGUGACACAUUCCAGUCUACACUUCGAUUUUGUAUUGGUGUUCCUGAACAACCUUUUUCAAAUUGGUUUUAAGGUGACCAGUUUUCGUUGUGUUGUUGUUCAAUUAAAUGGUGAUAUAGGGAAAAGAGAACAGAUUUGAAUUUGUAAUAAUAAAAUGUUUAUGCAUUUUAUGGCUCGUAUUAAUCCACAUUAGUAAAACCAAUUAUUGUAUAAUA